rnacentral:rRNA from 1 species
CUAAGAAUAUUUCCGCAAUGGACGAAAGUCUGACGGAGCGACGCCGCGUGGAUGAUGAAGGCCGGAAGGUUGUAAAAUCCUUUAUGACUGAGGAAUAAGUGAAGUGAGGGAAACGCUUCAUGGUGACUGUAGGUCAUGGAUAAGCAACGGCUAAUUACGUGCCAGCAGCCGCGGUAACACGUAAGUUGCGAGCGUUGUUCGGAAUUAUUGGGCGUAAAGGGUAUGUAGGCGGUUCUGCAAGUCUGGUGUGAAAUGCCGGGGCUCAACCCCGGAACUGCGUUGGAAACUGCAGGACUUGAAUCGCUGAGGGGCAGCCAGAAUUCCAGGUGUA